AGCGAACGCUGGCGGCAGGCCUAACACAUGCAAGUCGAACGAACCUUUCGGGGUUAGUGGCGGACGGGUGAGUAACACGUGGGAACGUGCCUUUAGGUUCGGAAUAACUCAGGGAAACUUGUGCUAAUACCGAAUGUGCCCUUCGGGGGAAAGAUUAAUCGCCUUUAGAGCGGCCCGCGUCUGAUUAGCUAGUUGGUUGAGGUAAUGGCUCACCAAGGCGACGAUCAGUAGCUGGUCUGAGAGGAUGAUCAGCCACAUUGGGACUGAGACACGGCCCAAACUCCUACGGGAGGCAGCAGUGGGGAAUCUUGCGCAAUGGGCGAAAGCCUGACGAAGCCAUGACGCGUGAAUGAUGAAGGUCUUAGGAUUGUAAAAUUCUUUCAACGGGGACGAUAAUGACGGUACCCGGAGAAGAAGCCCCGGCUAACUUCGUG
rnacentral:rRNA from 1 species